GAUGUAGGGUGUAGAUAUCUGACAGUAAAGAGUAGCCAAAAGAGAGGUCAAGUAGACAACAGAGAGAGAGACAAUAAAAAGGUGUUGGUGGGACUGAGGUAGAAUAGCGAGGAGGGGACCAGCAGGAGACAAAACAAAACGAUCUCUGGUUUCACAAUAUUGCGGCCCUUGUUUUUCUUUCUUCCGCCACCAUCAACACGACAAAAACAACAACAAAAGAAGCAGGGGUAGGUAAGGUAAGGAUGGCCAGGUAGGGGUGACGGAUAGAAGGAAGGAAAAACGGAAGGAAGGGUCUGAUAAUACGCCUCUCCUUUCGCUUCUGUUCCUUCACCACCACGACAAAAACAACAACAAAAGAAGCAGGGGUAGGUAAGGUAAGGAUGGCCAGGUAGAGGUGACGGAAAGAAGGAAGGAAAAAAGGAAGGAGGGGUCUUAUAAUGCGCCUCUCCUUUUGCUUCUGUUCCUUCACCACCAUCACCACCACGACAAAAACAACAACAAAACAAACAGAAGCGGCGGUAGGUAAGUUAAAGACGGACAGCAAAGGGGUGAUGGAGUGAGGGAAAGAAGGAAGGAGGGUCUCACAACAGGCCUCUCCCAUCGCUCCUGUUCCCUAUACACUGACAGCAUUAACACUACAACAGCAACAACAACAUGAGCAGAAGCGGCGGUAGGUAAGGUAAAGAUGGACAGCAGGGGGGUGACUUGAGAGAAGGAAAGAAAGAAGGAAGGAAGGUCUCACAACACGACUCUCCCUUCGCUCCUGUUUCCUAUACACUGACAGCAUCAACAAACGUUCUUCAGAGGGAGGCGCUGGUGGAGUUUGUUGACUUAGUACACCUUGCCUUGCCUCCUAGACUUGUGAGAAGGGUGAUUUUGGGGAAGUUUCGGGGCGUGUAGGGGAAGGUAGUGGUAUUAGGAUCAUGUUAUUAUUAUUUUUUUUUUUUUUACAACAAAGGAGACAGCUCAAGGGCACAAAAAAAGGAAGCAAUAAUAAAUAAAUAAAAAAGCCCGCUACUCGAUUAGACGUUUUCAGCUCUCAUAACAACGAUUUACAAAGACCACAAAGGAGAUUAGUCGGGUGUUAGUGAGGAAGGAAUAUAGGUAGGAAGGUCUUUCAUAACACCGUCCUUCCUUCGUUUCUGUUCCUUCAUAACCAUCCUCCUUUCCUUUAUUUUCCUUUCUUUCCUUUACCUUACCUUACUAUUAUCCUUCCUUCCUUCUGAUCUAACUUCCCUUUA